UGCUGUUGUCCCUCCCUCUCCCCAUGAAGCUUUAUUCUUUUUCUCAUUUUCUUUUCUCUCAAAAUCAAACCAUUUCCUAACAUCCAAACUUUGAUUUCUUAAUAAAAUCAAGUAAGAAACUUGAUUCCAAGUUCAUUUCCUCUAUAAACUUCACCAUUCAGGCUAAGGUUUCAUAGGUUUAUGAAAGAGAAAACUGUGGCUAGAGAACGAAAGCUUCGAUAAGGUAAGAUGAUUUUUUUCCACCUCCCUUAGCUUGAUUUUUGGUAUUGGUUAUUUGGGAAAACUUCGAAAGAUUUGUGGUAAUAUUUUUGUUAUAUUUUUAUAUAUGAGGAUUUGAGGAAAGGUUGGAUGUUAGGUUUUCAAGCAAGGAUGAGAAUGUAUUCAAGUAUUUGGAAGCUUAGAAUUGAGUAAAAAUGCAUCUAAAAGGUAAGUACCUUUGGAUACUCUUACUUUUCCUAUGCUAAAAUAUGUAUGUGUUAGGCACUUAGUGUGUCAAUAUGUGAGUUUAGACAAGAAUGGUCUAAACAACCUCUAAACCCUGUAACCUUGAUUGUACCUCUGCCUAAAUAAAAUACUUAUAAAUAUGUAAAUGACCUUAACUGAAAUAAGUUACUCCUGAACUAAAUGAACCCUAGUAAACUUAGUGGAAAAGUUAGGAUAGGAUUGACAUGUCAAUAAGGAUAUGAGAUGUGAUUUGUUCUCUUUGGGCUUAGCACCUUAGUGCUUUUUGGUGUGUUUUGGAGGGAUGUGAUCUAUUGUCUUCAAGUUUAUCACUUUAGUGCUAUUCAAUGUGUUUUGGAGGGAUUUGAUCUAUUGUUUUCAAUUUUAGCACUUCAGUGCUCUUUGGUGUGUUUGGAGGGAUGUAAUUUGUUUCCCUUAGGCCUAGAAAUUUAGUGUGUUCAGGAAAGAUGAGUUGUGAUGCCUUAGAGUGAAUCACUUUCAUGCUCUUAGUGCAUUUUAGAGGGUUCUCGUAUAUCCGAGUCUCAUUUUACAAUGUUUACUAAGGGCGAAACAAAUUUAAAAUCUUAACGAUGAGAUUUACUUGAGAAUAUAAAUAGAUAGAUAUAAACAUGCUAUGUAUUUGAGCUGAAAAUUAAAUGUCAUGAUAUUAAGCUUUGACCAUUUGUGACACAAAUGAGAUUUGAGAUAAUCCAACAAGUUAAAUGAGCAUGUGUUGAACAACAAAGUUAAACCAUGAGCCAUAGGACAUAAAAAUGAGAUUAAAACUUAUGAUUCUAUAUGCCCAUAAUAGAAAAAUGAACAAGGGAAUACAUGACUAGCAUAAUGUACUAAUAGCCAUAAUUGGAACUCAUAUGAGGAUAAUUUAAAAGAAUAAAGCCAAAAAGGCAAUAAACUUUGGAUUAAGCAAUAUUGUUACCCCCAAUGAGAGUCCUAAAUAUAAAUUCCCAAUGUGAAUGAUUAUUGGAUUAUUAAAGGGUGAGUUGAGUACUUAAGUUUCGGUAAUAAGAAAUGAAUUCAUUUGCAACCUUAAAAUUUGAUAUGAGUAUAUUUUGUAAUAGACAUGACUAAAGAGGGCUCAACACUAAUAACAAAAUAGAAUAUCCUUGUGUACUUGCUGAACUUAUUGAACUCACACAUUAGUUGUUUUAAAAUGUGUAGAUUUUGCAUUUUUCGAAAAGAUGGUGUUUUGACUUGGGAGCAUCGCAUCACCACUUGAGCUUAAGGUUGUAGUUCCUUAAUUUAGUUGCAAUUAAUUUUGAAUCUUGGCUUGUAUACAAAUGCAUUUAUUGUAAUUGCAUUUGUAAGGUUAUUUUUAAAUUUUAACUAUUUAGACAACCCUUUUAUAAGAUUUUGUUCUGUUGAUCACUUUUAACACACAUAUGUAUUGUAUUUUGGGUCUUAAUAAAUUUAGAAAUUGUAUUAUAAUGAUUUGUUACUCGUGGAUAUGUUAUGGAUGAGUUUGGGCAUGAUUUUAAGUGUUUUUGGCCUAAUUUUUAACUUUAAGGGUCUAGGGUUUGGUACCCUUACCAUAGGUAUCGAGUCGGAGCAAGUUUGUAGAAAAAAUGCUACAGUUCCAAGCUUAGGUAUCGGUACCUAUGCCCAAGGUACUGAUAUGUUGUUGCCUAGAUAGGCCCCCUGUACUAGUUGGUUGUUUUGAGCUCCUUGAAGCUCGUAUUUGAC
rnacentral:lncRNA from 1 species